GUUAAAUCUUAAAGUUAGUAAACUAACUUAGUUAGUUGUUCUAUAAAAUUAGCUCCCUCUUUUAAACUAUAUAACUUGGUUAAUUAAAGUUCAGGGGUAAAUUAUGUAAUAAAUGAAAAUAUAAGGGUUUUAAGUCUGAAAAAUAAAUAAAUAAAAAGAAUGCUGACCGCAGGGAUCGAACCCGGGUCAACACAUUCGCAAGCACACGCACAAGCCAGCUGGGCUGGGUCUUGACAUCGAACAUAACUCGGCUCACAAUUCAUUUAAACCCUCGUUCAAGCCAAGCCCAACAUACUAAUUAAACUAUAAAACACUAGCAAAACCCUAAUGCCUUCUUUAUUUAUUUUUUUUUUUUUGAACAGCCGCACAUAACAUAGAUGUUUCUCCUCUUUUCCUUGUUUGCCUGUUAAUACACACCCUCUUACAAAUGGAGACAAGAGACUCCAUCUCUUUCAAGCUUAUAAUCUCACCAUCAACCUCACCCAACUUCCCGCAUCUCUCUCUCUCUCAUUCAGACGUCGGCGACAGGAGCCGCUCCGACCGUCUUCUCCGGCGUCGGUUCCGGCCGACCACACACCUCCCUCGCUCACCCCUCAUCCCUGCUAAUCGAAUGACCAACCACCGCCCUUGGUGGCGGCACUCGUCGGCAACAGAAACGGAACGACGGCAGAACCAUCGAGCGGCGAGAACGGCGGCGGUGCUAGGGGUUUCUUCGCGGCGGCUCGUUUUAGUGUUUGUUUGACUCGUGUCGCGUCGGCUCGGUCCAGAUUCGGUUCAAUUCAGUUCCGUUCGGGUCAGAUUCGAUGUUCAGUUAUUGUCUCGGGUAGUUUCGGCUCGAGUCGCACAAGGGGCUUGGCAUACAUAUGGGUUCGUUGCGGAUUAUGUCUCGGUGCCACUCGGCUCAACCCGGUUCGACUCGGAGUCGCAAUCGUAACCACUCAUAAUCUCGAGACUUCAGUGUUCCAUCCUUUUCAUCUCAUACACUCGUCAACACUUGGAUAAUCGGAAGACUUAGCAAUUUGUUGUUAGACAAGACGAUAAAGAAAUCAAGUUAGGAUGGACUUAGAUACUCACUCAAUAAUAAACAAUGUUGUUGCAAUUUGUCUUAUUUGAAACCAUGUAAUUCAAAUUUUAGUCAUUUAUGAAAUUGGAUUUAAAUUA